AGGCGGCCCGGGCCGGGCUCCCGCGGCCCCGGGGGCGGAGAGGCGGCGCGGGUGAGCGGCCAGGUCCGUUCAUACAGAGGACAUUUAUUGGAUGACUGUCUGCAGUACUGCAAAAGGUUGCAGAGGAAAUGGAAGAUCUGCUUCUUGCAGAUCGGGAAUUUACAGUCUUAACUAGUAACACAGGUGCAUACGCAAGGAGCACCUAAAAAAAUCACCUGUGUGUUACCUAAGAGAAGGACUUUGUUGCCUACAAAUUGGUGGCAACCAGGAGUGGAAAUUCCAUGCGCCAGUGUGUAUCCCCGCUAUAUAGAACAAUAUUUCAAAGGCCUGGAUGUCACUUUGCUGAAGUGUCAGCCCAGUCAACUGACUGUUUUGACCUUGGAUACACUGUUAACCUAAGGUGGGAAUUAAGGCUGGCUUGAGGGGGUUGGGCAGCUCAGAUGCAGCUACCCUUUUCAAGCUACUGUGGACAUUUGUUCCUAGAUCAUGUGCACUUUGAGUCCUCAUUUCAUAACCUGACCUCUUGUUGGCAACCUCUGAGAUCUCCAGGGUGUAAGCUCCAUGAGAGCAGGGACCAGAUUUGGUUGUCUGUCAUGUGUGGCCAUCCUAGCAGAGUGGUACAUGUGACUGCUCAAUAAAGGCUUGCUAAAAACUGUUGACUGAA